rnacentral:misc_RNA from 1 species
UCCUCCUUACAGAGGCAGUUUGUUCCGAGUCCCCGACUUUACUCGCUGGUAACAGAACAUGAGGGUUGCGCUCGUUGCGGGACUUAACCCAACAUUUCACAACACGAGCUGACGACAGCCAUGCACCACCUGUGACGCACCCUCGCGGGCGACCACGUUUCGGCGGCUUGCAGCGUCAUGUCAAGCCCUGGUAAGGUUCUUCGCGUUGCAUCGAAUUAAGCCACAUGCUCCACCGCUUGUGCGGGCCCCCGCCAAUUCCUUUGAGUUUCAACCUUGCGGCCGUAGUCCCCAGGCGGUUCACUUAAUGCGUUAGCUACGUCACGGGAGGAGUCGACACCUCCCACAACUAGUGCCCAUCGUUUACGGCGUGGACUAC